UACGGAGGAUGCGAGCGUUAUCCGGAUUUAUUGGGUUUAAAGGGUGCGUAGGCGGCUUUUUAAGUCAGCGGUGAAAUUUUGCAGCUCAACUGUAAAAGUGCCAUUGAUACUGGUUUUCUUGAGUGUGGAUGAAGUAGGCGGAAUUUGUGGUGUAGCGGUGAAAUGCAUAGAUAUCACGAGGAACUCCGAUUGCGCAGGCAGCUUACUAAACCAUAACUGACGCUCAGGCACGAAGGCGUGGGGAUCAAACAGGAUUAGAUA
rnacentral:rRNA from 1 species